UUAAUCAAAAGUAAAAACAUAUGCUUCCAAAUCCUCGAGAACUUAUAUAAAUGAACAUAAGCACACACCAAACCUACAUUAUUUUAACUUCAUUUCAUUCAUAUGAACGAAAAUGCAAAUGUUUUUUCUUGAACAAUGUGUUUUUGUGUUCGAGAGUAAUUUUCUCCAGGCCUACAUUAUUAACUACAAAGUAGCCGUUAAAUAGAUAUUAAUUUCGAUGAAUCAUUGAAAGUUGGAAGUGAUUUAACACUUUCGCCUUGAAACCAAAUACAAAUGAACAAAUACUAACCUUACAUUCUUUAACUUUACAAAUUUACAAAGUACUAGCUAAUAGCCUAAUAUAAAGAAUUUCUGACCUAAUAUCAACAAAUGAUCCAAAUCGUUAAAAUAAUUUAUUUUUCAUCUUCAUCAAAAUGUUUUCUUUUAAAAGCUUUUCAACAAAAAUGUUUCUUUGUUGUGGUAUGUAAUUCAUCCUUUCCCCCAGUUAUCCCAUGUAUUUAAUGGAUUAUCGUGAAAGAUAACUAUGUGUUAAUUAUCUUUUCAUAAUGAACAAUGCGUGUGUUCGAGAGUAAUUUUCUCCACGCUACAUUGUUAACUAGUACAAAAUAGCCGUUUUAUAGAAAAUGAGAAACAUAUUUUGGGAAGCCAAUAAAACUCGUCUUGAAAAGCUUCGAUGUAACAUUGGAAACUGGAAGUAGUUUAGUUAAAGACUUAAAUUAAAUGUAAUUCGGCCUUGGAACCAUACUUUGUGAAACCCUAGUUUUGACCACUUUACUUGUCACUAACGGCUCAAAAUGCUCUGUCUCGAUGUCUCUCUCUAUAAAUAACACCACUACGAGUAGUUUUCUACUCAUUCACAAAACAUUUGACAAUAAACUUCUAUACUCUCCACAAUGGCUGUGUCGACACUAUUCCAAGGAAGAUCAUCCACAUUAUCAAACGAAGACGAACUGAGUGAUGUUUGCAUGUAUGCAUUUUGUGAUCUGUUUUUCUCUUGGAAACGUGUUAAAGACAAAAGCAGUCAACGGAUGAUGAAGCUGAUGUUCUAGCGUUUGAUCAGAGCUACAAAGAUAUUCUAGAGAACAAUAUAUAUUCGGCCUUUGCGUUAAUCAUAGUUUUUGGUUAUCGAUUUCGAGGCCACCCUGAUAGAUAUCCUCCGUCUGUACAGGCUCUUAGCCUCUUACAUAUUGUCUAUAGACCAAUAGAAUACGUUUUUCACCAUUGCAGCUUCUCUUAUAUCACCAUCGCUCCUCUAAUCUAUCCUUGGUACCAAUCUCUUCUUUUUCGUAUUUUGCUUUUAAUUUGGAUAGUUUGUGUUACUCGUUAUUUCAACAGAACUGUGAUUCACGUUAUUCUAAUUUCACUUAGAUUUUACAAGAUAUAGUAAAAAGAGAGAGAAAUACAGUCAUUAUAAUGCAUGUAAUUUUUGAGGAAUGCUCAGAGUUCUUGGAUGCAUAUUGGCGUCUACGUACUUUUAUAUGUUUUGUACACUUUAUGUAAUUCAAUUUUUUGGCAGUAAUUUUUUUUUGGUCAAAAGUAGUUAAGAGUCAAUGAUUAUUAUCAAAAUUUGACGAAUUUAUUUAGUGGUUAGCAAGUCGUAGUAAUUCUUUUGUUGUUUUGUUUUACACUUAAUUAUAAUUAACCAAGAUCAAUGUAUUGUUGUUACAAUUUAAUACUUGUAGAAGAAAGAUUGCUA